CGUGGCUCUGACACUAGUACGAGAGGACCGUGUUGGACCGACCUCUGGUUUACCAGUUGUGCCGCCAGGUGCAUCGCUGGGUAUCUAAGUCGGGAUUGGAUAAGUGCUGAAAGCAUCUAAGUACGAAGCCAGCCACAAGAUUAGAUUUCUUAGGGUCGUCAAAGACGAUGACGUUGAUAGGAUGCAGGUGUACAGGUGGUAACAUCAUAGCCGAGCAUUACUAAUUGCCCGUUCACUUUCUUU
rnacentral:rRNA from 1 species